AUUGAACGCUGGCGGCAGGCCUAACACAUGCCAGUCGAGCGGAUGAAGGGAGCUUGCUCCUGGAUUCAGCGGCGGACGGGUGAGUAAUGCCUAGGAAUCUGCCUGGUAGUGGGGGAUAACGUCCGGAAACGGGCGCUAAUACCGCAUACGUCCUGAGGGAGAAAGUGGGGGAUCUUCGGACCUCACGCUAUCAGAUGAGCCUAGGUCGGAUUAGCUAGUUGGUGGGGUAAAGGCCUACCAAGGCGACGAUCCGUAACUGGUCUGAGAGGAUGAUCAGUCACACUGGAACUGAGACACGGUCCAGACGCCUACGGGAGGCAGCAGGGGGGAAUAGUGGACAAUGGGCGAAAGCCUGAGCCAGCCAUGCCGCGUGUGUGAAGAAGGUCUUCGGAUUGUAAAGCACUUUAAGUUGGGAGGAAGGGCAGUAAGUUAAUACCUUGCUGUUUGGACGUUACCAACAGAAUGAGCACCGGCUAACUUCGUG
rnacentral:rRNA from 1 species